AGGCAGGAGAAUGGCGUGAACCCGGGAGGCGGAGCUUGCAGUGAGUCAAGAUAGAGCCACUGCACUCCAGUCUGGGCAAAAGAGUGAGACUCCGUCUCAAAAAAAAAAAAAAAAAAUGCUGUAACCCCCCUGGUGAGGAGGUAGAGGAUGAAUCUCCCCACUCUUCAGGGUGAGGACACUGAGGCCAAGACACUUGAUCCUUUUGCUGAAUCCAGUGGGAAAAAAGUCAAUACCCGAUUCAGACAAUCCAAACAGGCGUUUUGUCCCUUCCCUAACUCCCAGGGUGACUGCCUGGGGAGGCACAUGGCCUCCCCUUUGCCAUCCAGAUAAGCCUGUGACCUUGGCCCUGGCGGGAAGCCUGG
rnacentral:lncRNA from 1 species